rnacentral:rRNA from 1 species
CUGGACCCACAAAAAGAAAACCUUGACCU